UUCCGGUUGAUCCCGCCGGACCUGACUGCUAUCGGAUUGAUACUAAGCCAUGCGAGUCUUUGUAGUAAUGCAAGGCAGACGGCUCAGUAACACGUAGUCAACCUACCCUAUGGAUGAGGAUAAUCUCGGGAAACUGAGGAUAAUACUCAAUAGAUCAUGAUGCCUGGAAUGGUUUAUGAUUAAAAUGAUUCGUCGCCAUAGGAUGGGACUGCGACCUAUCAGCUUGUUGGUGAGGUAAUGGCCCACCAAGGCGAUUACAGGUACGGGCUCUGAGAGGAGUAGCCCGGAGAUGGGUACUGAGACACGGACCCAGGCCCUAUGGGGCGCAGCAGGCGAGAAAACUUUGCAAUGUGCGAAAGCACGACAAGGUUAAUCCGAGUGAUUUCUGCUAAAGAAAUCUUUUGUUAGUCCUAGAAACACUAACGAAUAAGGGGUGGGCAAGUUCUGGUGUCAGCCGCCGCGGUAAAACCAGCACCUCAAGUGGUCAGGAUGAUUAUUGGGCCUAAAGCAUCCGUAGCCGGCUCUGUAAGUUUUCGGUUAAAUCUGUACGCUUAACGUACAGGCUGCCGGGAAUACUGCAUAGCUAGGGAGUGGGAGAAGUAGACGGUACUCGAUAGGAAGUGGUAAAAUGCUUUGAUCUAUCGAUGACCACCUGUGGCGAAGGCGGUCUACUAGAACACGUUCGACGGUGAGGGAUGAAAGCUGGGGGAGCAAACCGGAUUAGAUACCCGGGUAGUCCCAGCUGUAAACGAUGCAGACUCGAUGAUGCAUUGGCAUAAUAGCCAUUGCAGUGUCGCAGGGAAGCCGUUAAGUCUGCCGCCUGGGAAGUACGUACGCAAGUAUGAAACUUAAAGGAAUUGGCGGGGGAGCACCACAAGGGGUGAAGCCUGCGGUUCAAUUGGAUUCAACGCCGGG
rnacentral:rRNA from 1 species